rnacentral:misc_RNA from 1 species
AACGCACCUUGCGCUCUCUAGUUAUUCUGGAGAGCAUGCUUGUUUGAGUGUCGCGAACCUCUCAACCCCGCCAAAGGCUUUAUUAACUUUGGUUGUUUGGGCUUGGAUCAUGGUCUCUUGUUGUGACUUUUGUUAGAAACAACUGGACUGAAAUACAACAAGUUGGAUAAACCCUAUUGCGGCUUGACCUGAUGUUGUAAUUUACUCAUCGGGGACGCGAAAGGUUGUUUAAGGAACUUUAACAGAAACCCUUAUGUUGUUUAAAGUCUUUCGGGACUCUAUUCAAUACAUUUAUGACCUCAAAUCAAGUAGGACUACCCGCUGAACUUAA